rnacentral:rRNA from 1 species
UACGGAGGAUCCAAGCGUUAUCCGGAAUCAUUGGGUUUAAAGGGUCCGUAGGCGGCUUUGUAAGUCAGUGGUGAAAUCCGGCAGCUUAACUGUCGAACUGCCAUUGAUACUGCAGGGCUUGAAUAAUUGGGAAGUAACUAGAAUAUGUAGUGUAGCGGUGAAAUGCUUAGAUAUUACAUGGAAUACCGAUUGCGAAGGCAGGUUACUACCAAUUCAUUGACGCUGAUGGACGAAAGCGUGGGGAGCGAACAGG